UACAGAGGUCUCAAGCGUUGUUCGGAUUCAUUGGGCGUAAAGGGUGCGUAGGCGGCGCGGUAAGUCGGGUGUGAAAUCUCGGAGCUUAACUCCGAGACUGCAUUCGAUACUGCCGUGCUUGAGGACUGGAGAGGAGACUGGAAUUUACGGUGUAGCGGUGAAAUGCGUAGAUAUCGUAAGGAAGACCAGUGGCGAAGGCGGGUCUCUGGACAGGUCCUGACGCUGAGGCACGAAGGUCAGGGGAGCAAACGGG
rnacentral:rRNA from 1 species